rnacentral:RNase_P_RNA from 1 species
GACAGAGGGAGCCCGACUCCCGUGCCUCCGGCAUGAGGAAAGUCCCCCCACCGGCCGGACAGGCGACCGGGCACACGCCCGGAGUCGGAGACGGCUGGCUCUGGAACAGCAACGACACCACCCGCCCCGACCGAUGAUCCGCGCGAACCGACCCGCAAGGGAAGGGAGUUAACCCGGAGAGGGCAUCGUGGCUUCACCACGCGACGGGCAGGAACGGAUGGAACGGCGAAUCCUCGCCGGUGCAAGUCCGCGCCACAAGGUAGUCCGGCCGCGGCGCGGACGCUCAGCCGAAUGUCGGGACGAACCGAAGGGGGCUUACUCCCCUCAGUC